CAACAGAAUAGCCUUGGACCUGACACUGGCCCAGGUUACCAGCACGUGGUCAACCUGGCCUCCAGUCUUGUGAAGCUGCGUCACCAUGCCUACAUGACGCAGCAGCAAGUGGUGGAGAUCGUCACCCUCUGGGAACGAUUGCUGGAGGGUGAUAAGGCCCCAGUUCGCUUUCCGCCACGCCACCAGGAAAGACUGGUGUAGGGGAGGUUCCGACGCAAGCACUCGCAGACCAGUGUCACACCAGGAGUGGAGAGCUUGCAACGGUGUAUGGUUGGCCAAGGCGGCCAAGCUGCACAGAUGCCAAACAUCAGCCGCCUUGUGAAGGCCGUUUGUGUACAGCUGUCCAGGAUUCACCCCGAAGGAACCACCAUCAGUGGCGUGAGGGUGAACCACUGGGCAGCUGUGAUGCGUGAUUACAUCUGCAUCCAGGAAAAUAUCCUCACAAACCCGGUACUCAUGGCCCAGACACGAAUCCAGUUAUUCCCCCUCAAACAGCGCACCCUGGCACAAUGGCACUACGCUCGCACCAGGGAGCUGGUACGGCGGGCUCUGGAGAUGGCCGUGCCACUGCCAACCAGCUCGGCCCUUGCUUCAGAGCCCACCCUUGCCGUACGACCAUGACCCACGGGCCCCGAGCAGUCCGCUGCAC